ACUCAGGGAGCUCUUCUGACUCUUAACAAGGUCUUGAAUAUACUUUCAGAGAAAUGCCAGCAAAAACUGUAGUCAUGUGGGGAAGAAGAAGUCUGGAAGAAAAAUACACAGAGGACUAGCACCAAAAGGGCAAUAGAUCAAGGAGUUCUAUUUCUGCCCAAGUCAUUAGAGGUCAUUUAACAGUAAAGAAGAGUUGGCCCACAUGUAAAGAGUACUUAACGUGCAACUCUGAAGUUUUCUUCUCGAUUUUAAAGAGGAAGGUGGAGAAAUGAAGAACAGGAUAAAGGCCUGAAAUCCCUUCUCCAGAAAGCAGCUGACAAGUCAGCAGGUGCACAGCUCUUAUUCCAGAGAAGACCCCCUGGUGUAUCAACUUGGGAAGCCACCUCCUCACUGGCAUCCUCUGGCCAUAGCCCUGGACCUCGAAGUUAUACAAAGACAUUACCCACUUGUGUGAGGUCGUUUACAUACCUCCCAUUCCCACCCACCAGACAAGGGAGCUUAAACCUCUGUGAGGUCUCUGAAUGCUCAACACGGAGUGGAAGACCGAAGGAGUAAAGCUGGAGGUAGUGUGUGGCAGGUACCACAGUGCCUCAGGCGACCAAGUUCUACAUGGAGCAGGACAAUGACGGCUCGUCCGCUUUUCCCUGGAACAUGACAGAGUCCUGGCCUCAGGGAGGCCCUGGGAAAAUAGUCUUCAAACAUCUGUUACAAGUUCAAAUUCUUCUUUAGUGGGAUCAACUUAGAAAUACCCCCUUAUGAACUAGAUAGAAGUAGACUGUGUUGGUCAAAGCGGGACUUGGAGCUCACUGAGGGCCCUAGAAGAACCCUACACCCCACUCUGAAGUCCAUCUGCAGGACUCAGUAAUGGGGCCCGGCAGGGAGGCUCACGGAGUCUGUGACACCCAGGAGACCAUGAAGAAUCUCCUGGAAAAACACUUUGCAGGUGCAUGCCAGAAAGCUAGCA